AAAUGUAAUUGCAGCUCUUGCCAUUACUUUCAGUGGCAAAAACUGCAAUUCCAUUUGC
rnacentral:miRNA from 1 species